rnacentral:rRNA from 1 species
UACGAAGGGGGCUAGCGUUGCUCGGAAUUACUGGGCGUAAAGCGCACGUAGGCGGGUUCUUAAGUCGGUGGUGAAAUCCGUGGAGCUCAACUCCAGAACUGCCUUCGAUACUGGGAAUCUUGAGUCCGGGAGAGGUGAGUGGAACUGCGAGUGUAGAGGUGAAAUUCGUAGAUAUUACGCAAGAACGACCAGCGGCGGAA